GUGAGGAAUAUUGCGCAAUGGACGAAAGUCUGACGCAGCCAUGCCGCGUGAAGGAUUGACGGCCCUAUGGGUUGUAAACUUCUUUUGUAUAGGAAUAAACCCUCGUUCGUGAACGAGGCUGAAGGUACUAUAAGAAUAAGCACCGGCUAACUCCGUGCCAGCAGCCGCGGUAAUACGGAGGGUGCAAGCGUUAUCCGGAUUUAUUGGGUUUAAAGGGUCCGUAGGCGGAUCGUUAAUUCAGUGGUGAAAUCCUACCGCUCAACGGUAGAACUGCCAUUGAUACUGGCGAUCUUGAGUAUGUAUGAAGUUGGCGGAAUGUGUGGUGUAGCGGUGAAAUGCUUAGAUAUCACACAGAACACCGAUUGCGAAGGCAGCUGACUAAUACACAACUGACGCUGAGGGACGAAAGUGUGGGGAUCAAACAGGAUUAGAAACCCUAGUAGUCC
rnacentral:rRNA from 1 species